GGGGUUGUAGCUCAGUGGUAGAGCACUGGCCUCACAAGCGUGAGGUUUAAUCCUCAACACCA
rnacentral:tRNA from 1 species